UGAACCAUGACUGAGAGGACACAUAGGUA
rnacentral:piRNA from 1 species